rnacentral:rRNA from 1 species
UACGUAGGUGGCAAGCGUUAUCCGGAAUUAUUGGGCGUAAAGCGCGCGCAGGCGGUUUCUUAAGUCUGAUGUGAAAGCCCACGGCUCAACCGUGGAGGGUCAUUGGAAACUGGGAAACUUGAGUGCAGAAGAGAAAAGCGGAAUUCCACGUGUAGCGGUGAAAUGCGUAGAGAUGUGGAGGAACACCAGUGGCGAAGGCGGCACUCUGGGCCGGAACUGACGCUGAGGAGCGAAAGCGUGGGGAGCGAACAGG